CUCCGCAUAAAUGCAGCGAUGACCCUCGGGAAUGACUACUCUGGUAUUGUUGCAGCUAGCCCAGGGGAGUUCAGAAUGGAAGGACGAAAAGAAGUAGAAGAAGCCCCAUGCCAGGAUGACAA